CAGAGCAGAAAUUUCUCUUUUUGAAGGAAAGGAGAAGAAUAAUCAACUAAUUAUCCCAGAGGGAAGAGUACCUUACGUCAGAUUAUACCACAAAAAAAACUUCAAAAUUCUAUAAAGAAAGAUGAUGCUUUAAGACACUACAUUAAUAAAAAGUGGGCAUAAAAGAAAGUUAUUAGAAGCUGGUCUCUGCAUAUAAAUUUUGGCUUCUUCUUCAAGGAGACGUACGCAAAUAAUGGCUUAAAAAGCCAAAGAUAACUUAACAAAAAUAACUACGACACAUACUACGCAGCUGAAUAAUUAAAAAAAGAAAGCCUACUUUGAUGAUAAUAAAAUUAAAAUCUACAUGUAAGCGUGCAACGGUUAAUACAAACUUGAAGUAAUGCCUCAGGUAACACUAAGGGAAAGUUUUCCUUGUAGUUAAUACCGAAGUUUACUAUAUUUAAAACAAUAACUUAGAACGUUGUC